UAUUUUUAUUGAUAAAAAAUAGAGUUGUAGUUUUUCAGAAAAUCAGUGGUGUUAUUGGUUAUAUAAGUUGAAAUCAACUCUAUUAGAUUUCAAAUAGUUUAGAUUUUAAUUUUUUAUUCAUUUAUAAUCUAAGAUACAUGAUUUACUUUACAUAUUUAAAUCUUUGUUAAUGUAUUUAUAAAUUCAACAUAAUAUGAUAUGAUUUCUAUAACAGAAUUACAAAGUUCAAAAAACUAUAAAAUGUACGUUCAAGAAAACGAUAUUAUCAUCAUAAGAUCACCAUUAAUACACAAUGAAAACAAUAUUUUAUAUUCAUUAUUAUGAGUAAAAAAAUAUAAUAGCAUAUUUGAAGUAAGAUAAGAAAAAAAAUCCCAGUCUUGGUUUAGUCAACAAUGAAAUCAAUGUUCUAGGUUUGAUCAAAUGACUGAUAUAGAUGAAAAAUCCAGAUGCUAAUUUUAUAAACAAAAUGGGAGACACUGACUUCAUAAAAAACUGUUCAUAUAUUUUCUAAAUACAAAGAAUUUGAUUUAUUAAAGUGAGAAAUGAUGCCACUAGAUGAGUACUUUCAUCACGUCAUGUUUUUUUUCAUUUGAUUCUUGGUUUUAACUGAAAAUGUUUAUAUAUAAAAUCAUGAUGUAAUACGUUAAAUUUUGACUCCUAUAUUUUACACACAAAACUGUUUCCAAAUCCAUUGAAAGUAUUUCAAGUCAAAGGAAUUGAAUUUUUUUAUCAAACAUGAAUAACACCAAAUUUUAAAUCUUGUAUUGAAAUCUUAUAUUGAAUAACAAUGGAUGUGUUUAAAAAAAAUAAUAACAAUGGAUUCUAAAUUCUUUUAAUGAAAAUAUUGUAAAUACAAGAACCAAUAACAUUAGAGUUUAAAAUUUUUUAACAAAAUAUUUUAAAUACAGCAACCAAUAACAUAAGAUUUUGAUAAAAAAUUUAAAAUCAACCAUUGAAUAACACUAGAUUAUAAAACCAAAUGAAUUAACUUUAAAUCCACUAACAAUUAACACCUCCGCACGUUUCUACAUUCUAGUCAAACUGAAGAUAUUUUUCUAGAUAAGAAACAAGAAGAUAAAAACUCAUCAAAUGACUGAAACAAAAAAAAUCACUCAUCAAAUAGGUAAGGCCUUAAUAAAAGAAUAUAUGUAUAGGACUUACAUAUUUGCAAUUUGUCUAUAAAUAUAAUAGGGUAUUGUAAGCUCUAAAGCCUACUUUCAAUCUUCCCAACACCAGAAAAGAAAAAUGAAGAUCUCUUUCUCUUCUAUUCUCCUCAUACUAAUUGUCAUUUUCAUCACUUCUUCUGGAAAUAAUAAAAUGGUAGGAGAAGCAAAGAAGUGUUUUGCUACGUGGACAUGUGAAGGAGACGAUGAGUGCAGAUUAAAGUGCAUUAUUGAUCACAAAGGAGACGGAAUAUGUGAUUCGUCCACUGCUUUUCCGGUUCC